UUAAUCUCAUUAAAUUAUGUUUACGUCGUAAAAGGAAGUUACUGUUUUAUGAUCGACCAACGUGUUCACUUGGUUUUGGGUAUUUUUGGCUUUGAAUAUUGAAACAUGUGUACAAAACCAAAUAUAACCAGACAGAGUAUAAAAAUCCGCCUGGCAUGCAGGAUGACACCGUUUGGAUCUGGAUUCUAUUGUCCCACUUAAAGGAAGAUCAUGAGGUCUUACCGGUACCGUGUACACUGGUCGCUUUGAAUACUGUUUCAUAUUGAUUCCACAGUUGAAAUAACUAAAAGUUAACUGGAAAUCAGUCCUUAUAGGACAUGGUAUGAAACCAACAAACAACAAAGAGAUGGGGUGUUUUGAACAAUUGCAUUCUACUAAUAACUAAGUUUACCAAAUAAUGCACACCACUACUAAGAUAUGAAAGUAGUGUGAUGCAAAGGCAGAGAUUAUAACAAUAAAGACAGUUAUGGUAAUAUUCAUCUCAAGCAUGCGCAAGCUAGCUCUUUGCUGAGUACCUGGAGUAAGGACGACCUUCAUACUAUGCGGAUGAAAUGUGUUAACUCCCCUUACAUAUUUAAGAAAAAGCCUACUGAUCUUUCUAUAAUGUUCUCGGCGUCAACAGAAGUUCGUAGUACAUUCCUGAACUAAACAUACAACAAGUGAAAAAAGAGCACAACAUUGCAAAUUACUGAACGUCAACAUGCACAAUGUACCUCGAACAUUGAGUCACAAUGAAUAACACUGCCACAUAUCAAACUUUCAUGAUGAAACAUGUCAGACUUAUGAUGACAAGGACAAUUCACACUUGACACAUUGAUUGUCUGUUGUCAGAGAAAGUGCCACGACUCUAUUUUGCCAUACCUUUCAUGUGCACAAAACAGCAUGUCACAAAACACCCAACACGAUGAUAUUGAUAAAUAAUAGACCUUCAAGAGUUAUUGUAUGUGCACGUGUAGCUUGUACUUAAAGCUGCAAUAAAACGAUAAACCUUUGCUUCAUUUCCUGUACUCCGACUUGACAUCUGCAAGAAAUUAUUCUCACUUAAACAUGUAUGAUUCUGACAAAGCGUAUAGGAGUCUCAACAUUUAAACGUGGACCUUUACUUGAACUAGUUCCCAUCAACACGAUAUGUUUCUGAUAUCAUACGCACACCAUAUUGCACCUUACUGAAUUUCAACAAUGUAUUACACUUGGAUCAUUGCGUCACAAUGAAUAUCACUGUCACAUAUCAACAUUUUAUUAUUAAAGCUAUACUAGGCAAAACUGAAGACUUGACACUCGGGAUUUUUUUGGACUAGGUCUUUAAUAUUAGAUUUAAGACAUUACGUUUAGUUGUAUGCUGUGCACAGAACAUCUUGACAUCAAAGGACAGCAAAAACAACAACAAACAAACAAAUCUCGCCAAAACUUUUAACAACGAUAACGUUCAUGGUGUCAAGGUACCCUCCAAAAUGAAGUUCACUGCGUGGAGAACAAUUCGAUUGUGGUCUUCAGUAAGGGCUGAAAACA